ACGAACGCUGGCGGCAUGCCUAACACAUGCAAGUCGAACGCUAUUUAUAGAGUGGCGCACGGGUGAGUAACGCGUGGGAACCUGCCUUUUCUGCGGGAUAACGGUUGGAAACGAUCGCUAAUACCGCAUACGCCCUACGGGGGAAAGGUCCGCCGGAAAAGAGGGGCCCGCGUCUGAUUAGCUUGUUGGUAAGGUAAUGGCUUACCAAGGCUACGAUCAAUAGCUGUUCUUAGAGGAAGACCAGCCACAUUGGGACUGAGACACGGCCCAGACUCCUACGGGAGGCAGCAGUGGGGAAUCUUGC
rnacentral:rRNA from 1 species